AUAAUAUCUUUGAAAUUUAUUUUGAUCUUUAUUAUUAAAGGAGUAGUAAAAAAAGCUUACGUUUGCUCUUAGAAAUGGAUUACCGUUUUAUGAAAAAUUAACCUUGCCUUCCAAUUUUCUAAUUAGCCCGUAUUUCAAAUAAAAUGAAACAAAAAUAAAAAUAUAGCAUUGAAAAUCGGAAAUUAUUUAUAAAAAUAAAAAAUAGUAUUAAAACCUAAAAAAGAAAAAGCAAAUGGACUUACGUAAAAAAAAGACUGUUAAAACUAC
rnacentral:lncRNA from 1 species